GCAGAGGCUCAUUUCGGGUGGAUCAUUGGUCCUCAUUUUUUGUACAAUUAUGUGGACAUUCAUCUGUUCUGUGUUAUCAGGAAUCAAGGUCCGGUGAGGCUCGCUUCAUAAACAUGGGUCGUCUGUCAACUGAGAAACGUUAAAAUAAGGAAGCUGCAGGAAAAUGAGAAGCACCCCGAGCAUCACAAGACAUUCAGAAGACAACACCCUUCACCAACUAAAGAAACCAGGCAAAUGAAUCCUGAAACGGAGGUUAGCCUCCUCCACCCUCCCGUCCCCACUUUUGUUGUGAAAGAGAAUAAACAUCUGAGAACAGCUGGAGAAAACCUCCGAGCGGCUUGCUGCAGAGAAAUGUCCCCGUGUGGCGAGCUUCAUCUGCAGAAUGACGACCUGAUGGGAGCCGCGGCCCCGCUCUUACUCUGAAAUGUUUCAAACUUUAUUCAAAUGUUUCUGUGGUUUAAUAAAUGUUUUUGAAAGAGUAAUAAACAUUUCCUAAAAGUUCAACAUAAAUCUAUUCAGUACUUUUGAGAUACAAUCCUGAGAAUGCAGCUGGMUAACUUUAGCAAAACUUCCCCAUUGCCAGUGAAACCAUAAAAACAUCUAAUCACCACGGGCAGAAAGGCUCCGAGUGGCUUCCUGUGAUGAUCUGAUCAGAGCUGAAACAGCCUUUAGGAGACCUGGUACCAAAACUGCCUGAUAGAGGGACAAAAACUGURCAACAUACUCAAAGUCCAACAUUUUCUGUGCUGUACUUUGACUUUAGUGAACAAAAAACACUCCUUAAGCACUUUCUGAGCUGAUGAACGACAGUUCACACAACCACCGUCCAGAUGUCAGUAAUCCGUGUGCACAGAUUGCAGAAACUGUGAGCACAGUUUAGUAAUCUGUGCUCAUAGUUUAGUAAUCCGAGCUCACAGUUUAGUAAUCCGUGCGCACGGAUUUCCAGCGGCUGUUUUUAUUUUCUCCCACUGACCCCUCACGGCUCCGUAGUUUGAAACUAACAAAUUAUUUGAAACUGAAAAAAAAAAUA